GAUCAACGCUGGCGGCGUGCCUAAUGCAUGCAAGUCGAGCGGGGUGAUCUUCGGAUCACUUACGCGGCGGACGGGUGCGGAACACGUGGGCAACCUGCCCCGAGGUGGGGGAUAGCCGGUGGAAACACCGGGUAAUUCCGCAUACGGUCACUGAUCGGAGGACUAGUGAGGAAAGGGUCUUCGGACUCGCCUUGGGAGGGGCCUGCGGCCGAUUAGCUAGACGGUGGGGUAACGGCCUACCGUGGCGAUGAUCGGUAGCUGGUCUGAGAGGACGGCCAGCCACACGGGGACUGAGACACGGCCCAGACUCCUACGGGAGGCAGCAGUGGGGAAUCUUAGACAAUGGGGGCAACCCUGAUCUAGCCAUGCCGCGUGAGUGAUGAAGGCCUUAGGGUUGUAAAGCUCUUUCAGCUGGGAAGAUAAUGACGGUACCAGCAGAAGAAGCCCCGGCUAACUCCGUGCCAGCAGCCGCCGUAAAAC
rnacentral:rRNA from 1 species